rnacentral:rRNA from 1 species
UACGUAGGUGGCGAGCGUUGUUCGGAAUUACUGGGCGUAAAGGGCGCGUAGGCGGUCGAACAAGUCAGCUGUGAAAACCACGGGCUUAACUCGUGGCCUGCAGUUGAAACUGUUUGGCUAGAGUGUGGGAGAGGAGAGUGGAAUUCCUGGUGUAGCGGUGAAAUGCGUAGAUAUCAGGAGGAACACCGGUGGCGAAGGCGGCUCUCUGGACCACAACUGACGCUGAGGCGCGAAAGCCAGGGGAGCAAACAGG